rnacentral:rRNA from 1 species
UACGUAGGGGGCUAGCGUUGUCCGGAAUCAUUGGGCGUAAAGCGCGCGUAGGCGGCCCGGUAAGUCCGUUGUAAAAGUCAAAGGCUCAACCUUUGAAAGCCGAUGGAUACUGCCGGGCUAGAGUCCGGAAGAGGCGAGUGGAAUUCCCGGUGUAGCGGUGAAAUGCGCAGAUAUCGGGAGGAACACCUAUGGCGAAGGCAGCUCGCUGGGACGUUACUGACGCUGAGACGCGAAAGCGUGGGGAGCAAACAGG